AACGAACGCUGGCGGCAGGCUUAACACAUGCAAGCCGAGCGCCCCGCAAGGGGAGCGGCAGACGGGUGAGUAACGCGUGGGAAUCUACCCAUCUCUACGGAAUAACGCAUGGAAACGUGUGCUAAUACCGUAUACGUCCUUCGGGAGAAAGAUUUAUCGGAGAUGGAUGAGCCCGCGUUGGAUUAGCUAGUUGGUGGGGUAAAGGCCUACCAAGGCGACGAUCCAUAGCUGGUCUGAGAGGAUGAUCAGCCACACUGGGACUGAGACACGGCCAAGACUCCUACGGGAGGAAGCAGUGGGGAAUAUUGGACAAUGGGCGCAAGCCUGAUCCAGCCAUGCCGCGUGAGUGAUGAAGGCCCUAGGGUUGUAAAGCUCUUUUACCCGAGAUGAUAAUGACAGUAUCGGGAGAAUAAGCCCCGGCUAACUCCGUGCCAGCAGCCGCCGUAACAC
rnacentral:rRNA from 1 species